rnacentral:rRNA from 1 species
AUCCCAUGCCGAACUCAGCAGUGAAACCGCUCUGCGCCGAUGGUAGUGUGGGGCCUCCCCAUGCGAGAGUAGGUCAUCGUCAGGC